GACGAACGCUGGCGGCGUGCUUAACACAUGCAAGUCGAACGGAAAGGCCCUGCUUUUGUUGGGUGCUCGAUUGGCGAACGGGUGAGUAACACGUGAGUAACCUGCCCUUGACUUUGUGAUAACUUCAGGAAACUGGGGCUAAUAUCGGAUAUGAGCUCCUGCGGCAUGUUGGGGGUUGGAAAGUGUCGGCGGUUGGGGAUGGACUCGCGGCUUAUCAGCUUGUUGGUGGGGUAGUUGCUUACCAAGGCUUUGACGGGUAGCCGGCCUGAGAGCGUGACCGGGCACAAUGCGCCUGCGAGACGCAGCAGACGGCUACGGGCGGCAGUAGUCGGGAGUCUUACACAAUGGGGCGACGCCUGAUGAGGAGACGUCGCGUGCGGAAAGCCCGCCUUCGGGUUGUAAACAGCUUUCGCCUGUGACGAAGCGUGCGUGACGGUAAUGGGUAAAGAAGCACCGGCUAACUACGUG
rnacentral:rRNA from 1 species